rnacentral:rRNA from 1 species
GACAGAGGAUGCAAGCGUUAUCCGGAAUGAUUGGGCGUAAAGCGUCUGUAGGUGGCUUUUCAAGUCCGCCGUCAAAUCCCAGGGCUCAACUCUGGACAGGCGGUGGAAACUACCAAGCUUGAGUACGGUAGGGGCAGAGGGAAUUUCCGGUGGAGCGGUGAAAUGGCGUAGAGAUCGGAAAGAACACCAACGGCGAAAGCAACUCUGCUGGGCCGACACUGACACUGAGAGACGAAAGCUAGGGGAGCGAAUGGG